UUAAAUUGAAGAGUUUGAUCAUGGCUCAGAUUGAACGCUGGCGGCAGGCCUAACACAUGCAAGUCGAACGGUAACAGGAAACAGCUUGCUGUUUCGCUGACGAGUGGCGGACGGGUGAGUAAUGUCUGGGAAGCUGCCUGAUGGAGGGGGAUAACUACUGGAAACGGUAGCUAAUACCGCAUAAUGUCGCAAGACCAAAGAGGGGGACCUUCGGGCCUCUUGCCAUCGGAUGUGCCCAGAUGGGAUUAGCUA
rnacentral:rRNA from 1 species